GACGAACGCUGGCGGCGUGCCUAAUACAUGCAAGUCGACCUUAGUGGCGAACGGGUGAGUAACACGUGGGUAACCUGCCCAUCAGAAGGGGAUAACACUUGGAAACAGGUGCUAAUACCGUAUACUGAUGGAUGGACCCGCGGUGCAUUAGCUAGUUGGUGAGGUAACGGCUCACCAAGGCCACGAUGCAUAGCCGACCUGAGAGGGUGAUCGGCCACAUUGGGACUGAGACACGGCCCAAACUCCUACGGGAGGCAGCAGUGGGGAAUAUUGGACAAUGGGCGAAAGCCUGAUCCAGCCAUGCCGCGUGUGUGAAGAAGGUCUUCGGAUUGUAAAGCACUUUAAGUUGGGAGGCGUUACCAACAGAAUAAGCACCGGCUAACUUCGUGCCAGCAGCCGCGGUAAUAC
rnacentral:rRNA from 1 species